GACGAACGCUGGCGGCGUGCUUAACACAUGCAAGUCGAACGAAGUGGCGAACGGGUGAGUAACGCGUAAUCCACCUGCCCUUCAGAGGGGGACAACAGUUGGAAACGACUGCUCAUACCGCAUACUGAAGGAGGGGAUUGCGUCUGAUUAGCUAGUUGGAGGGGUAACGGCCCAACAAGGCGAUGAUCAGUAGCCGGGCGGAGAGGAUGGACGGCCAAAUUGGGACUGGGACACGGCCCAGACUCCUACGGGAGGCAGCAGUGGGGAAUUUUCCGAAAUGGACGAAAGUCUGACGGAGCAACGCCGCGUGAGGGAUGACGGGCUUCGGGUUGUAAAGCUCUGUUAAGCGGGACGCGGUACCGGAAUAGAAAGCAACGGCUAACUACGUGCCAGCAGCCGCGGUAAUAC
rnacentral:rRNA from 1 species